UCCGAUUGAUCCCGUAGGACCCCACUGCUAUCGAGAUGGGACUAAGGUAUGCUAGUCGAACGACCAGAACUAUGUCUGGAAGUGGCACACUGCUCAGUAACACGUAGCUAACCUACCCUUAGGACGUGGAUACCCCCGAGAAAUUGGGGUUAAUCCGCGAUAGAUGUAAUGUCCUGGAAUGGUAUUACGUCUAAAGGUAUUUCAUACAUGUUUGAAAUAUGCCUAAGGAUGGGGCUGCGGCCAUCAGGCUGUUGGUGAGGUAAUGGCUCACCAAACCUUUGACCGGUACGGGCCAUGAGAGUGGUAGCCCGGAGAUGGACACUGAGACAAGGGUCCAGGCCCUAAGGGGCGCAGCAACCGCGAAACCUCCACAAUGCACUCACGUGCGAUGGGGCUAUCUCGAGUGCCACCUGAUGAAGGUGGCUUUUCCUAGGUCUUCAAAGCCUUGGGAAUAAGAGGGGGGCAAGACUGGUGUCAGCCGCCGCGGUAACACCAGCCCCUCGAGUGGUGGGGAUGAUUAUUUGGCCUAAAGCGUCCGUAGCCGGCCGAGCAAGUCUUCCGUUAAAUCCAGCGUCUCAAGCGUUGGACCGCGGGAGAUACUACACGGCUAGAGAGUGGGAGAGGUCAGCGGUAUUCUGGGGGUAGGGGCGAAAUCCUUUGAUCCCCGGAGGACCACCAGUGGCGAAGGCUGCUGACUAGAACACGUCUGACGGUCAGGGACGAAAGCUGGGGUAGCGAACCGGAUUAGAUACCCGGGUAGUCCCAGCCGUAAACGAUGCAUGCUAGGUGUUGGGUUGGCCACGAGCCACCCCAGUGCCGCAGGGAAGCCGUUAAGCAUGCCGCCUGGGAAGUACGAUCGCAAGAUUGAAACUUAAAGGAAUUGGCGGGGGAGCACCACCAGGCGUGAAGCCUGCGGUUUAAUUGGAGUCAACGCCGGGAACCUUACCGGGAGCGACAGCAGAAUGAAGGCCAGAUUGAAGAUCUUGCCAGACGAGCUGAGAGGAGGUGCAUGGCCGUCGCCAGUUCGUGCCGUGAGGUGUUCUCUUAAGUGAGAUAACGAACGAGACCCGUGCCACAUGUUGCCACCAGUAUCUAAAGGAUAGCUGAGCACUCUUGUGGGACCGCAGCCGAUAAGGCUGAGGAAGGUACGGGCAACGGCAGGUCAGUAUGCCCCGAAUCUCCCGGGCCACACGCGGGCUGCAAUGGUACAGACAGAGGGCUGCCACCCCGAAAGGGGGAGCCAAUCCCUAAACUGUACCUCAGUUGGGAUCGAGGGUUGCAACCCACCCUCGUGAACAUGGAAUGCCUAGUAACCGCCAGUCAUCAUCUGGCGGUGAAUACGUCCCUGCUCCUUGCACACACUGCCCGUCGAACCACCCGAAUGAGGUUUGGGUGAGGAAUGGUCGAAUGUUGGCCGUUUCGAACCUGGGCCUCGUAAGGAGGGUUAAGUCGUAACAAGGUG
rnacentral:rRNA from 1 species